AUUGAACGCUGGCGGCAGGCCUAACACAUGCAAGUCGAGCGGAUGAAGGGAGCUUGCUCCUGGAUUCAGCGGCGGACGGGUGAGUAAUGCCUAGGAAUCUGCCUGGUAGUGGGGGAUAACGUCCGGAAACGGGCGCUAAUACCGCAUACGUCCUGAGGGAGAAAGUGGGGGAUCUUCGGACCUCACGCUAUCAGAUGAGCCUAGGUCGGAUUAGCUAGUUGGUGGGGUAAAGGCCUACCAAGGCGACGAUCCGUAACUGGUCUGAGAGGAUGAUCAGUCACACUGGAACUGAGACACGGUCCAGACUCCUACGGGAGGCAGCAGUGGGGAAUAUUGGACAAUGGGCGAAAGCCGGCUCCAGCCAGGCCGCGUGUGUGAAGAAGGUCUUCGGAUUGUAAAGCACUUUAAGUUGGGAGGAAGGGCAGUAAGUUAAUACCUUGCUGUUUUGACGUUACCAACAGAAUAAGCACCGGCUAACUUCGUG
rnacentral:rRNA from 1 species